rnacentral:lncRNA from 1 species
UGCUGAUCAUUUUUGCUGUUUACAGUUUAUCUUUAUCUAUAAUAAUAUUCAAGAUAAUGACCAAAAACUGCAAAAUUUCCUUAAAAUUACCAAUUAAGUGGCAGCAACCCAACAAUGGUUUGUUUGAUUCAUCUGAAAAUUUCAGGGCUGAUAGAUCUUGACCUAAUGAACAUUUUUACCCCCUGUCAGAUUUGCUCUAAAUGCUUUCGUUUUUGAGAUAUAAGCCAAAAACUGCAUUUGACCCCUGUGUUCUAUUUUAAGUAACGGCGGCCAUGUUUUUUGACGGAUCAAAAAUCGAAGCACACACUUUGUGCAGGAUAAUCUAAGGAACAAUCAUGCUAAGUUUCAUUCAAAUCCAUUCAGUAGUUUCAGAGGAGAAGAUGUUUGAAAAAUUGUUAACGACGACAGACGACGACGACGACGGACGCCAAGUGAUGAGAAAAGCUCACAUGGCCUUUUAGGCCAGGUGAGCUAAAAACAGCAAAAUUUCCUUAAAAUUACCAUUUCAGGG